rnacentral:rRNA from 1 species
UACAGAGGCCUCGAGCGUUAGGCGGAAUCACUGGGCUUAAAGCGUGUGUAGGCGGACUUCUAAGUACCUUGUGAAAUCCCACGGCUCACCCGUGGAACGGCUGGGUAUACUGGGGUGUCUUGAGCCACUUAGGGGCUGCCGGAACAAAUGGUGGAGCGGUGAAAUGCGUAGAUAUCAUUGGAACGCCAAUGGUGAAAACAGGCAGCUGGGAGUGAUGCUGCGCUGAGACACGAAAGCCAGGGGAGCGAACGGG